UACGGAGGGUGCAAGCGUUAAUCGGAAUUACUGGGCGUAAAGCGCACGCAGGCGGUUGGAUAAGUUAGAUGUGAAAGCCCCCGGGCUCAACCUGGGAAUUGCAUCCAAAACUGUCUGACUAGAGUAUGGCAGAGGGUGGUGGAAUUUCCUGUGUAGCGGUGAAAUGCGUAGAUAUAGGAAGGAACACCAGUGGCGAAGGCGACCGCCUGGGCUAAUACUGACACUGAGGUGCGAAAGCGUGGGGAGCAAACAGGAUUAGAUACCCCCGUAGU
rnacentral:rRNA from 1 species